rnacentral:rRNA from 1 species
GGGCUACACACGUGCUACAAUGGUCGGUACAGAGGGCAGCGAAGCCGCGAGUGGAGCGAAUCCCAAAAAGCCGAAUACUCAGUUCGGAUUGCAGGCUGCAAUUCGCCUGCAUGAAGUCGGAAUCGCUAGUAAUCGCGAGUCAGCACAUCGCGGUGAAUACGUUCCCGGGUCUU